rnacentral:rRNA from 1 species
AAAAAUCCGGGGGGUCAACCUCAAGGCGCGGGACCAGGGUUCUUUUGAAUCCGAAGCUGCUGAUACCAAGCUCCCAGGAAAAGCCUCUAAGCUUCGGUUGCAUGGGACCGUACCGUAAUCGGACACACGUGGGCAGGAUGAAAAUUCUAAGGCGCUUGAGAGAACUCAGGAGAAGGAACUCGGCAAAUUGACACCGUAACUUCGGAAGAAGGUGUGCCCUGGUAGGUUGUAGCCGUACAGGCGAAGGCCGAAGGGGUUGCAAAAAUCGGUGGCUGCGACUGUUUAAUAAAAACACAGCACUCUGCAAACACGAUGAGUGGACGUAUAGGGUGUGACGCCUGCCCGGUGCCGGAAGGUUAAAUGAUGGGGUGCAAGCUCUUGAUUGAAGCCCCGGUAAACGGCGGCCGUAACAAUAACGGUCCUAAGGUAGCGAAAUUCCUUGUCGGGUAAGUUCCGACCUGCACGAAUGGCGUAACGAUGGCCACACUGUCUCCUCCUGAGACUCAGCGAAGUUGAAAUGUUUGUGAUGAUGCAAUCUACCCGCGGCUAGACGGAAAGACCCCGUGCACCUUUACUGUAGCUUUGCAUUGGACUGUGAUGGGAUCUGUGUAGGAUAGGUGUAGGCUUUGAAGUGGGGGCGCUAGCCCUCAUGGAGCCGUCGUUGAAAUACCACCCUGAUGUCAUUGCGGUUCUAACCUUGGCCCCUUAGCGGGGUUGGGGACAGUGCAUGGUAGGCAGUUUGACUGGGGCGGUCUCCUCCCAAAGAGUAACGGAGGAGCUCGAAGGUACGCUAGGUACGGUCGGACAUCGUGCUGAUAGUGCAAUGGCACAAGCGUGCUUGACUGCGAGACUGACAAGUCGAGCAGGUGCGAAAGCAGGACAUAGUGAUCCGGUGGUUCUGAAUGGAAGGGCCAUCGCUCAACGGAUAAAAGGUACGCCGGGAUAACAGGCUGAUUCCUCCCAAGAGUUCAUAUCGACGGGGGAGUUUGGCACCUCGAUGUCGGCUCAUCACAUCCUGGGGCUGUAGCCGGUCCCAAGGGUAUGGCUGUUCGCCAUUUAAAGUGGUACGUGAGCUGGGUUUAAAACGUCGUGAGACAGUUUGGUCCCUAUCUGCCGUGGGCGUUGGACGUUUGAGGGGGGCUGCUCCUAGUACGAGAGGACCGGAGUGGACGCACCUCUGGUGUACCGGUUAUCACGCCAGUGGUAUUGCCGGGUAGCUAAGUGCGGAAGAGAUAAGCGCUGAAAGCAUCUAAGCGCGAAACUUGCCUCGAGAUGAGACGUCCCGUGAUGUAAGUCACCUAAAGGGUCGCGGUAGACCACCGCGUUGAUAGGUCGGGUGUGGAAGCGCAGUAAUGCGUUAAGCUAACCGAUACUAAUUGCCCGUGCGGCUUGAUCCU